UAGGGAAUAUUAGUUAAUGUGCGAAAGCGCGAACUAGCAACGCCGCGUGUGCGAUGAAGGCCUUCGGGUUGUAAAGCACUUUUCCAAGGGACGAGGAAGGACGGUACCUUGGGAAUAAGCAUCGGCUAACUACGUGCCAGCAGCCGCGGUAAAACGUAGGAUGCAAGCGUUAUCCGGAUUUACUGGGCGUAAAGCGCGUGUAGGCGGUUCGGUAAGUUGGAUGUGAAAGCUCCUGGCUUAACUGGGAGAGGUCGUUCAAUACUGCCGAGCUUGAGGAUGGUAGAGGGAGGUGGAAUUCCGAGUGUAGUGGUGAAAUGCGUAGAUAUUCGGAGGAACACCAGUGGCGAAAGCGGCCUCCUGGACCAUUUCUGACGCUCAUACGCGAAAGCUAGGGUAGCAAACGG
rnacentral:rRNA from 1 species